AACCUUUACACUGCACGACAGUGCGAUAGGGGGACUCCGAGUGCGAGGGCAUAUAGCCCUCGCUUUUCUGUACCGUAAGGUGGUACAGGAACAAGGACUGGGCAAGACCGGUGCCAGCCGCCGCGGUAAUACCGGCAGUCCGAGUGAUGGCCGAUAUUAUUGGGCCUAAAGCGUCCGUAGCUUGCUGUGUAAGUCCAUUGGGAAAUCGACCAGCUCAACUGGUCGGCGUCCGGUGGAAACUACACAGCUUGGGGCCGAGAGACUCAACGGGUACGUCCGGGGUAGGAGUGAAAUCCUGUAAUCCUGGACGGACCACCAAUGGGGAAACCACGUUGAGAGACCGGACCCGACAGUGAGGGACGAAAGCCAGGGUCUCGAACCGGAUUAGAUACCCGGGUAGUCCUGGCUGUAAACAAUGCUCGCUAGGUAUGUCACGCGCCAUGAGCACGUGAUGUGCCGUAGUGAAGACGAUAAGCGAGCCGCCUGGGAAGUACGUCCGCAAGGAUGAAACUUAA
rnacentral:rRNA from 1 species